GAUCAUGGCUCAGGAUAAACGCUGGCGGCGUGCUUAACACAUGCAAGUCGAACGAAGUUUUUCCUUCGGGAGAAACUUAGUGGCGGACGGGUGAGUAACGCGUGGGUAACCUGCCCUGUACAGGGGGACAACAGCUGGAAACGGCUGCUAAUACCGCAUAAGCCCUUAGCACUGCAUGGUGCAUAGGGAAAAGGAGCAAUCCGGUACAGGAUGGACCCGCGUCUGAUUAGCCAGUUGGCAGGGUAACGGCCU
rnacentral:rRNA from 1 species